rnacentral:lncRNA from 1 species
AACUUUGUUCAAAGAUAUCUCCAACGGUAUAAAAAAGUUCAUCAUUUCAGGAAGAUGUUAUAUUAUGCUUAAAAGAAGCUAGUAUACUGCAAGGUGAGGAAAAAAAAAACAUAGCAUAAAAUGAUAUAAUUGUAUAAAUUUUCAUUAGACUGGAAGCUGAGCUACAAAUUAAAAAUCCAUUCAAGAUCAAGAGUAAAACAGUUGAGUAUUUUCUUCUUUUCAUGUGUGUACGUUAAUGUUUUUAUGUUAAAAAGAAAAUAAUUUCACAUCAUCCACAAAAGCAUCAUCAGAUUCAGCGUCUCCAAGAAUUUAACAAGGCAUGAUAUGAGUAGUUUUGGUCUCGUAACUCACCGCACCACCAAGGCCGCCGCCAUUUUUACAGCCAAGUCUUAAAACCUUGAUCAAGUCACCACAUCCUCCUUACAUUCCCUUCCCCUACUUCACUUUGCAUAAUCAACAAGACUUUUGUCACUCCAUUGCUCCUCACCACUCUCUCCACCACCCUCUCAUCCCUAAACAGACAACACAUGCUCCACAGCACCACCACGGCAUCCUCCGUUGCCGUUUUUGAGACCUUCAUUAAUCUCUCCACUAUCGCCCCUGCGCAUGUCGGGUCAACGCUUAUCGCUGACCGUCCAUCCGCACACGUACAAAUCAUUGACAAUACCUUCAGUGACUUUUCCACGACAGAAACGGCAGCGUUUUGGCUCAACAGCAUGUUCGAUAGAACUCCAACCACUCCGAGUUGAACUAACCGAGUCUUGAUUGACCGAGUUAUAGACACCGAAAUCAAAAAACAGGACCACUUCGUUUAAAUCCUGAUGGUCGUUUUCAAUUUUGAGAAGUUGUAAUAGAACCGGCAAGACGUCCUGUGUACCUGCAACGAGCUGUUUUGAUUGGUUGUUUAUUGUAAUUGACUCCAAAACGGUGACGCAUGCGAUAUCGUACUCCAAACUUCCGUUUCGCAAAACAGAAAUAAAGGAAGGCAGGCAAUUCGAAUUUGAUGUGAAGACUAAUUCGUGCAAUUUCUCAUUGACUCCAUUUUCAAGCAAAACUGAACUUAAAACCCUGAUAACCGACUCCAGAACACGAAUUGGCACGCAAUUUGUGUUCAAAACACCCACGAUCGCCUCCAAAAAACCAUCAAAGCUGACCAAAAACCUUCGGCUGACCUCUCCACAACUAACAAACUCUACAAUCGAAUCCAAACACCUCUCUAUCUUUCCGCUCUUAAUUUCUUCAAUCCAAGCCCUAACUUUCUCUUCGGAAACUGCCGGAGCGAGAGCAGAGGAUUUGGUGGCGCUGUGGUGGUCCAGAGGUUGAUGAGGCGGUGGAGAGUGAGGUUAGGAACAAAUUCCUUGGAGGAGAGGAUUUGCAUGGUGGCGGGACAGGUGUCGUGACCGGAGUCGAGCCAAUGUUGAAUACUGGAGCGAUCGUAUGUGACGCCGGUGGAGAGACUUACGGGAGACUUCAUUACGUCGAGAGAGAUCGGACAGCGAAAGAGGCUGGGUACAGUUAUGCAGAGUUCGUCUCUCCCCAUUCUUCUGAGGAAAAAAAAAAACAGAGAGGGAGGCAAAGGUUGGGGACAGUAGACGGAGGGGUUUUGUAGGGGAAGGAACGAGUCAAAGUGUAACGUCGUAUUUUUUUCUUAGUCAAAUUUUCAAUUUGUUUUUAUAUUUUUAAUAAAAGGGAUGAGCUGGAAUUGAACUGUGCGCGAUCCAAUUAUUUAAAAAAAACAAUUUAAUUUUUAUUUUAAAAAUAAAAAAAAAUAUUAUUUUAAUAUAUUUAUUUAAAAAAAAAAACCUCUGUCCCUAUCCCAGCAUCUUUUAAAAUUAGCAUGCACCGCGUAACCGGUGGAACUCUUCUCCCUUUGGUGGUCCCCCUACCCCCCUUCAAGGUAUUUUCUACCCUCUUUUCUUUAUUUAUUUUCCUUACAAGUCGGGCAUAAUUUUAUUUUUAUUCAAAAGUAUCUUCAAUGUUUGAAAGAUUGCUUGGACAUGGCAGAAUAGAAUAACUUGGUCAAGUUUCACUUAGUUUUUCUAUUAAAAAAAUAAAUCAUCUUAAAGAUAUUGAAGUGUGAAUCGGUUCACUUAUUUUUAAUAAAUAAAAAUACAAAGAUGAAUCUCUUCUUUCAAGAGAAAUAAUCCCACCCACCAGAAGAAAACACGGUGAGAGAUAUAUGAACAUUUUUCUGGUCUAUGAGAGCGUCUGUCACGAAAUAAACGAAAGUCAAAUUGUGUUACAUAUGUACGACUACUCAAGAUUGCUUAUUUCACGAUUAGGUGUGGGGCAGGGCCACGUAGACUUUUUGAACCUUCCAUUAGUCCAGUUUGGAGUCCAAUUUGGUGUUCCCUUAGCGUUGGGUUUUAAUUUAUUAUUAUAUUUUUUUAGGUACAAAUAUGUAUUAAUUAUUAUUUUAAUUUUUAAUAAUUUAUUUUUUUUAGUUUUACGUGGGUGUCCGGGUCAGCUUGCACGCACCUCGACUAAUCCUACGGGCCCUGAAGUUAACGACCAUGUAAGCUCAGUGGCCAUCAUAUGAGCAACAAGACUCGAACCUAGACCACAUAGAAACAAAUCUCUUGGUCCCAAACUUUAUCAUUAGGCCAACCUAGAUCGUUAUUUUUUUUAAUAAUUAUUAGUACUAUGAGUAGGUGAGUUUCUUGUACGUGAAGAUUUUGAACGCAAGAGGAUUCAACUCAAAAGAAGAAAUUUAAUGCAGAAAAGAGGUGUGUUUGAAACUUUGAAUAUAAUGCCUUCCGUUAGACAAGAAAACGCAUUCACUCGCGUGCUUUCCUUACUGUUGACCGAUUACCUAACUUGUUUUGUUUACAUGUGAUUUUCUCCGAUGAUCCAAUCUCAAAUCCUUGGUUGGGUUUUCUUCCUUCUCUCUUGAGAUUCUCUCCCGUAUGAACUAAGGAAAAAUAGACAAAUGCUUGAGGCAUUUUAGGUCCUACUGGCGACUAAUUAUAAAAAUCCAACUUUAGCUUAUUUUCAAAUCUGUGUGGCAACAUAUACAAAAGAGAAAGAGUGAGAAGAUGGCAGCUUGAACCAUUUAUGUUCAAGUUUUGAUAGCUAACUAAUUUAAUAUUGGGUCAAGUUAAAUUUUUAUGGAAGUUGAAUUUUUAACUUAACUGAAACAAACACUUAUAUACCUAUUAUUUUUAAUUAUAUAUAGUCGAAGUUUUUAAUUGGAUUACAGUCUUGUGAUUUUUUUUUAUAUCAAGAUUUUUCACAUAAAAAUCUUAGAAUUGAUUUAUUAUGAUGGCUUGCCUUUUUUAUUUUUAUUUUUGAUUGGUUUGCACAAUGAGAGAAAAGAGUUGGGACUUGUGAAUUGUAAAAUUGUAAAAUUGUUUAUAUUGAUGCAUUUUCCCAAUAAAAUGGUAUCAAUGCUUGAUUGAUUGUGUAGAUUAUUAUUGUGUGUGUGUGUAUGAAUAUUCAUGUAGAGAAAUAAGAAAGCAAUCACAAUAAAUUCUUGUAGAAAAAUGAUUCAUGGUCUUGAUCCACAAGAAAAAUAAUUUAUCUUACAAAGAAAAUACUUUAAAAAGUCAGAUACUAAUCACAUAUCUCUAGAUUAAUUAAAUAAUUCUAAUAUCAUAAAUAUUAUAAAGAAAGCUCUUGCAUCAAUGUUUAGGUUAUUUCAUAUUUUUUUUAAAAAAAAUAAACAAUAUAGUCUGGUGUGAAAAAAUACAAUUAAAGACUAUAAACACUAUAAACAAGCCAUUACAUCAUACUUCUUUUUAAUCUGUAAUGUUGUCUUUAGAUGGAAAUCAAAUCCUGUAACGGAAUCCAUUUGUUUUAAUCAUUCCACUUAAUUUGUUUUAGCUAGUUUGGCAUGUUUAAAAGUGUGGUGGUUUUUACUGUUGUGAUUUGUAAAAAAUUAGUUUAAUGAAAUUACUUUUAGUUACGGUGUGUUUAUUAAAAUAUACAUUUAAUUUAAACUGUGGUUAAAAUUAUUAAUGACUAAAAAACAGUUAUUCUAGACCAUAUGCAUCCUCUCCAAAGUCCAAUUCCAAGCUCUCAAGUCUCAACCUCCUAAAAAUCUAAAACUUCCUUACGCUUAGGCCCAAUAUGCUUUAAGGUCAUAUCUCCCUUCCCUUUAGGCUCCCCUUUCCAACAAUAAAUGUCGGGUUAUAUAAGCACCGAUUUUGAGUUUUAAGAAUAGAUAGAAAGCUAGACUGCCCACAGUUUAUACGAAAACAAGGAAAAGAGCUAGCUUGCCCAGGCCACACAUGAAAUGGAUAUGACAUGGCAAUGCGCAAACGGCCCAUCCAUUUCCUGAGCUCAACAUUACAAGUCAAUGAAGAAACGACGUGAAGAAAUUAGCAAAGUUAUGUCUUUUAUAAGAAGGAAUUGGCAAAGUUAAAUGUCCACAAAAGUUGUGAUUUUUAAUCCUAAUCUUGUGAGUUGUUAAUCCUCGAGCAGCAGGUGUUGAAUUGGCACUGAAAAAACAGGCUCUCCAACCCUAAAUGGAGUUUUAGAUGACACAUAUUAUUGCUAGACUGCGAGUCUAUGGAUAUAGACAUGACGACAAUGUUUCGCAUCAUCGCGAAAUUUGAGGAGGAUAACUUGGACGGACAACUGUGAAAUCGAUAAAAGCACAUAUCAACUUCGAAAAGCCUCGAUUCUACUCGCAUAUUAUUAUUAUAAUAACUUCAAAACUAUUGGUGGCUUCACUUUCGUUAUCAAAGGGUAAAUAAAUUGUUUUUGUUUACUUAAUUCAAGAGGAAAAGGUCUGUUUUUUCUCAAAUCUCAGAAGAAAUUCGAGAUUUGAGUCUAAACUUCUAGCCAAAAAUUGCACGAGAGAAGAAAGAAGAGAAGGGAUGUUCGCCUACCUAGCCUACUCCUUCCUCUAAAAUAUUUUAUCAAUGGAGGAAUAAUAUCAUUUUUUUUAAUUAGAAAAAAAAACGAUUUUGAUCUAGGAUGUGAUAACUUUAAUUCAUCGAAGGAAAACCCCAACCUUAUCUAGUGUUCAGAAAUGACUCCACAUGCAGAGACUAGUCACUUGAACAUUCAAUCGAGAGAAAACCCACAAGCUCCACAAGAAUGCUAGUCACUUCUGUCCCUCGAUCUUAAAAUCGGCCUCUUCGACUCAGCCUCUCUCUUUUUAGCGCACCAAUUUAUUAACCCUAUUUAUUGAGCAUCCGUACCCUCCCUGUUACAGCAAUUGAGAUAAAAUUAAGAACAAUCCAAUAAAGUUACUAAAAAAAAAAAGUGGAAUAUCAAUGAAAGAGAGCUAAAGAUCUGGUGUUGCUCACGCCUCCGAUAGUGCGGAUUGGGAGACACUCCUUUUAAUUAGGGGAAAGGGAGUGUGUUGUGAAAGAGGAGAUGACACCAUGUACUCGAAAGGUCUUUAAAGGGUCCUAAGCGGAUUAGCAAAGGGACAAAUUUCCCUGAGGAACCUGACACAACAGUUCAAGCCUGUAGUCGGCCAUCAAGUAUGGUAUGGACCCAUGUAGACACCUAACCAUGCUACACGGCUCCCUCUUUUUCUCCAAAUCUUUUCUCCUUUUUCUUCCAUUUUGUAAAUAUACUUUUGGCCUUGAUGUCUCAUGAGUACAGGUUCACUCAAGACACUCUUCCUAGAGACCCGUUCAAUCCACGGGUCUCUCGGUACAAAUUUAAUGCGCAGACUAUUUGGUAGGGCAAUUAAUUAAUUUUACUUGGUCUUGUACAUUAAUUAGUCAUCGCAUGUUAUUAAUUUCCAAAAAAAAAAACACAAUAAACAGAACACAACCCAAUAUAGGUCAAUGUAAAAGCACAUGCCGGCCCAGCAUUUACUUCCCCAUGUUUCCACAUUUCCUCCUUGUUCGAAUUUUGUUUAGCACUUCAUCCAUGCAUUUCCUUUGCAAACAAGCCACCUCCAAUACCACCAUCAUACCGAACUCACUAUUUAUUACCGGUUUGUGUGUGUGUGUGUGUGUCUGUGUGUGUGUCUGUGUCUGUAUAUACAUAUCCUAUGCAUGAGUUUUUGUAGCUAUCAGUCAUUUCCUUUGUAAACCUUCUGGCUUACUACACCCUCCCUCUCCUGUCGGACUCUCUCUCUCUCUCUCUCUCUCUCUCCCCCUCCCUCCUUAUACAGUCUUCGUUUGUUUUUGGGUUGCUUAUAUGGGGAGGAGUCAUCUGGUUCUAGUUCUAUGGUUACUCUUGCUCGCACCAUUUGUUAGUCAUACUUAUGGCUCGAGGCAGACUAAGAUUUUCAAGAUGAUUGAACCGAAUUCUCAGAAUUCUUCACCGGGUACUUUCUCGGGGUUCUUCCCGAAGGGAAUGCCGAUCCCCCCAUCUGGUCCUUCGAAGAAGCACAAUGACAUCGGUUUGCGAAGUUCCGAGCCAUUGCCAUGAAUAAGAGUCCACGACUCGAGUGAUUAAUUACUUGUGUCUUUCAAUUGUUUCACCACUCAUAGAAGCAGGGUAUGUGUAUCACUAGAUGGGGACUGGCUAUUAGGUUAUUUGUUCAACUUCUUGGCAUUUCUCUUCUUUUUGCUCCAUCUCAUGAGAGAACUUUUUAUUUUUGUUAAAGAUCUCAUGAUCAUGAGGAAGCAAAGGUUAGUUACUCAAGCUUACAGAGAAACAUCGUCUAGUAUGGACUUUCCUUCUCUUGAAGGAUAUUCUAAGAUAGUUUUAGCAUUUGCUUAUCUCGUUCCUGGUUGGAAUAGAAUGACAGAGACAAAACUGAAAGGAAAAUAUUUUUUUUGUAAACACAUCUAUAAAUAUUUGUAACAAACUUGCAGUAUUCUUUUCGUCCUGCCUGCCUGCCUAUAUAGUUUCUUAUCUCGCCAAGUCUAGAAUUGCUGAGGCAUUCUUGGAUUUUAGACCUUUUUGAAUUUCAUUAUUUUGUUACUUCAUCAUUCGUGACAUGUAAUUGUUCUUCCGAUAUACAUGAUCCAACCCUUUUUACAAAGUCGAUGCUGCUGUUAUUCUACUCGUACUGCAUAAUUAAUGGGCUCGGCGGAUUCUCAUGAUUAAUCUCUUAGCUUUGCUGACCUGAACUGUGAAUGCGUGCAAGAAAUAAACAGUUGAUCAAAGUGACCUUACACACUCAUGAGCUAUGCAAAGGAGGGACAAUGGCGGUACCAUGUUCCUUUCCUUUUGAUUGAUCUGAUAUAACAUUUAGUACUCGAUUGGGUGUUGGUGGUGGUAUUUAUGGUUGUUUUUUAUAAAAUUUUAUUUUUAAAAAAUUAAUAUAUUUUAGUAUUUUUAGUUAAUAUUAAAAUAAAUUUUAAAAAAUAAAAAAAUAUUAUUUAAAUAUAAGUUAUACCAUAACGCCAUGGUUUAUAUUUGUAAGGUAUGGUGGUGAUUAAACGACCAGUAUCUCAACCUCCACCAUGCAUAUUUCACUGCAUAAGCUUUUAGCUUUAUCUCAAGGCCGGCUGCUAGUGGUACGGCUGCUAGGUAGACAUGAAGCUACAAGCAAAGACUUUGAAGUAAGUAACGUUGUUACAGUGAUGACGGAAGCGACACCAUAGGAUGUACAAAGGUCUGCUCUGAGCAUUUAUGAUACUCGUUCAGUGCUGGAACCCACACGUAACUUUAUAGGUGUUUUAUAAUUCUUCUCACAGUUUAAAAAAAAGUUUCGAGAUAAAUCAUACGUUUUAGAAAAGUAUUUGUAAAAUAUAAUAGUUUAAAUACAAAUGCUAUUCAUUUAUAUAAAAAAAAAUUAUUCAAAUUUUCAUGAAAAGUUUUAAAAAUAAAAUUUAAAUUUAAUAGCAAAAAAAAAAAUAGAUCGCCAAGAAUAUAUUAUAACUUUGUUUUUGACAUACCUAACACUUUAAGAUACAAUUCUAACCAAAAAAAUUUUAAAAACAUAAUUUUAAUUUAUUAGAGGUUUUGUUCAUAAUUAAUAUAGAAUUAAUUAUAAUCUUAUUUAAUAGUUUUUAAAAUAUAAUUAAAAUUAUCAUCAAAUAUAUCAAAAGUAAAUUCUCGUUAUUCACAAUGAUAUAUAUAUAUAUAUAUAUAUAUAUAUAUAUAUAUAUAUAUAUAUAUUAUUAUUACUAAUGAUUUAUUUUUUCUUACUUUAUUUCUCUUUAGGACCACAUUACUUUACCUUCUUAUCUCCUUAUCCAUAUUAAAUCUUAUCUUUUAAUCAUUAAUUUUUUAUAAAAUUUUAAAUUAACUUUUGAUGAAAUUAAUUUAUUUUUUUUAAAAAAAAAAAAAAAACAUCACGAUACAAACACUUCAACCAAUUCUCAAUAGCGAUUCUACACCAUUAAUAUUGGAAAUUAUGCUCACACUAUUAUUUUUUAAAUAUUUUUUUAAUCUAUAUUAUUCUCUCACAAUUUUUAACAAUUUACGUUAUUUUCCAAAAAAAUAAAAAAUCCUAACUAUUCAAAAGGUUUUCCGCAGUACCCGACGAUUCUACGAACUUCGAUCCCAGACGAUAUUGUUACAACCAUGUGAGAUCAGGCUAGGAUGCGAGAUGUAGUCAAGACAAUAGAUCCAGAAAUUGAAAGUACAAAAUGGUUGCUACAUCCAGGGUGAUACAGGAAAGGAAGUAAUAUUACUUGAUUGAUUAUUUUAACUACCAAAUGCUCAGUAUUUCAUGGCCAAAUCCAUAGUUUUAAAACCUAAUCUGACCUCAACCUGAAACUCAGGACUGAAACUGAACCCAGGUUUAUAAAAAAAUAAAUAUAAUUAAAAACUUGAUUGACCUGGUAAGUUUACCAGUGACCCGAUCAAAACUCAUGUCACUGAUCAAAACUCAUAACCCAAGCUUUGAACGAGAUCAGCCACUGGGACCGGUUUAAAAAUCACUGGCCAAAACCACACAAUUUGAAACCGUUGUACGGCGCAGCCACAGCUGAUUGGCAUUUGCUGUGUUGUCUAUGAUCUGAUUUAAACUUGUCUAAAACAAUGAAAUGGCAGGUCAAGGUAUUCGGGGAAAAUCCUGCAAAUAAACCUUCCCAUAACAAAGAGGAUUGAUAUAAAAGGGACCCAAAAACUCAGUAUGGAUGGCUGGAAAGCCAGGAACAAAAACUUUCUUGCCUGGAUUGUCGCAAUUGAUGCUUUUUAUAUACACUACAAUACAAUAGAUAUAAAAGGGUUAGAUACCCCAGCAGAAUUAAAUGGAAGAAAUAAAUUGAGGAGGGGAUGAGAGGAGGAGAACAUCAAUCAAAAGAAAAGAGGACAGAGAGAGGGCUAUUGGCUUUCCUUCAUCUUUGCUUAACCUUAAAACCGUUUGUUUUCGAAGGUGCAAGAUGUGCUAACAGACUCCCCCUCCAGCAUUCUGUUGCUAAGGUAGAGAAGCAGAGGACAUGCCUCCCUCUGAUCUGCGAGCUGCCUGGCCACUAACUGAUGAUUUGUCUGAACCUCUAACAUUGUACUUCUCAUACACUUUUUCACGAUUCUCCGACCACCAAGUUUCUGCUUGGUGCUCCCCAAAUCUUCUCCGACUGCAGAUAAAUUAAUAGGGACAGACAUAAAUGAAACGAUUAAGAGAUCAAAUCAGCUCUGAUUAAGAUGAUUUCAAACCUUUGCAAGGUGAAACGUUGAUGUAAUACUAUCAAAGCUCAUGUUCAGAAUGAUCUAUGAUUGUUUAUAAAAAUGCAAUCUUGAAUUAUAAAAAAAGCCUAUCAGCAACGUCAUGUUAACCAAUUGUUUAGAUUUCUUCUAGCUCUAUGCCAUACAAAAUGAGUGAGUCAUUAAUAUCUAAAAUAAAAUGAAAUAAAGUACCUGAAGCGCACUCGUUUGAGAUCUCUAGUUCCGUCGCGCAGGGAAACAAGAGUGAUAUACACUCCAGGCUCAUACUGUUCAAUCCACUCAGCCUCAACAUGAUUACCAUUAGCAACCGAUGAUGAAUCCCUCGAUUUCAUACUAUUCUCGCCAUCUUGAGGAGACCGAGGUUCCUUCCUGGCAACAGCAUCUGACACAGUAUUACAACUUGGCUGAUCCCCUCCACCAUUGGACAGUCUCACAUCUGGAUGGUCAUCCCUCCCAUUGGCUCCAGGUGAAUCCCGGACUGACUGAGUGAUACCUAGAGUUCCAUUUAUUGAAAUUGAGUCGAUCCUUGUCGGGGAAGCCAAGGAAGUUCCACUGAUAGAAUCAGAUCUUGAAUGCCGUUCUCCAUUUGCAUCAGGAAAAUGAAUGCCAUUUGUCUCCAAACCAUUUGCUAUGUAAGCUGGUCUCAGGCUCUCAGUGUCAUAGACCCCAGGCGGCAGCCUCUCAGCCAUAUCCUUGAGCUGGAAUUGAUAAGUGUAGAAAUCAUUAGUACAAAACAAGAGUAAGUCAAGAAAAAGAGAGGAAAAUUUCUAACAAUAUAAAAGACAAGGAUAUUCUCUAAUGGCUAUAAUGGGAAUGUUAGCUACCUAAAUUAACGGCAACCAGUGUUUCAUUCCUUCAGAAAUCUAUUCUAUCAAAUUCAUAUAGAUUUGAUGGGGUGGAUGCAUAUCGUGACAUACAUCAUAAUCAUGGUACAGAGGAGAUCAAACAAAAAUUUCCAAAAUUCAUUAACACGGAACCAAUGAUCAGUGGGCAAAAGCAGACUUACCUGUGCAGUAAGUGACUUUAUAACAUCUUUUGCAGCUUUGGACUUAGCUGAUUCGUCGGCGGCUACUGCCAUAGCUUCUUGUACCUUCUUAGCAGAUUUCUGGAGCUCUGAUUCUUGGAAUUCACAUCUCUGUCUUAGGCUCUCAACCUAAACAAGAUCAAUACGCAUGAAUGAUCAAACCCGGCCCAAAACAUAAAAACCUGACUUAAUUCAUACAGAAACAUGUGAUUAAUUUUUGCGGAAAACUCAGCCAGCAUACCUGUGUACGCAGCUUAAGCACUUCUUGAUUCAAAAGUUCGUUUGUUUUCUUCAAACUAUCAGCUAUACUUUUGGAAAAGGAAAGUCCUGACGUUGUUGGGACAGGCGUUGCAGAACGUGGGGGGCUAGGUCUCCUUGAGAAGGGCGACACGGAUCUGGAACUUACUCCAGAUGGUGUAAGAACAGGUUUGGGAACCUUUGGUCGCAGAUCAAUAGUGGUAGACAAAACAACAUCUUUCAGCUGCAACAAAGAAGGUGCUUGAGAAGACCGAACAAGAGAAAACGUAUCAGCUUUCUUUCCUUGUUUGGCUGCUUUGCUAUCUAAUUGCUUAAUCAAAUCCAAAUUUGAAGGCGUUGUUAACUUCGACAACCUUAAAUCAGCCUUGUCCAGCCUGUCCUUGUUUUCACCUGAAAGGCGAGGUCCAGCAUUUCUUCUGUUGGUGUUACUAGCAUCCGACACCUUAUUUAGUUUGGUAAAACAGGAAUCACAGACACGAUAUGGUUUGCUGGGAUUAGGAGCUAAGGCUGCUCUUGUUGCUUUUCUGGAACUGCAUGAAUGGCAGUGAACAAGUCCACAGUUAUAGCAGUUAUGCCUUUUACGUGUGAACCCAAAAGCCUGUCUGCAGGAUGAACAUUGAGAUUGCUCAGAACCAGAUACCCAUUUAUGGAGGCAUAUAGCUGCAGAAUAGUUUGCACCGCAUGCAAUAUAUUUCACAUGUUUAUCCUUCAAAGCUUCAACUAGAGUAGGUGUUUUUCGAUCUUCACCAUCUCCAUGACCCAACCUGCCAUUGGCACCCUUUCCCCAGGUAUAAACCUCAUUUCUGGAUGUCAAAACCGCUACAUGAUAUGCACCACAAGCAAUUUCUUCAACAGAUUCUCCAGAAAGCUUAUCUUCUACCAAGCAGGGUACCUUUCCAUCAGCAUAAGGAUUUCCAAGUUGACCAUAAACAGUACUGCCCAUUGUGAAUACAUCUCCCGAUGUGGUCAAGCCAACAGUUAAACUAUGUCCACAAGCAAUUUUGUGAAAAUUGUAAUCAAUUAAUGCUGGCACACAUGUGGGUUUAAGCUUAGGUUCUUUGUCUCCAUGUCCAAGACGAUUUUUGUCUCCAUCGCCCCAGGUAAAUAAUUUUCCAGAUGACACACUGGAACUUGAAUGUGUGACAAUAACCUCCACCACAGCAGCGGUAUGCCACACACCACAAGCAACAGCAAUAGUCCUCAACCCAGCGAGUGAUUCAACUUCUCUAGGAUAGGCAAUAUUUUCUUUGUUUCCAUGUCCCAAGACACCAAACGUUCCAUCACCAAAUGUAAAAAGCUGCCCUGUUGACGUCACCAAGGCUGUAUGCCACGGACCACAUGUUACAGAAGCAACUUGAAGACCCUCAAGAGGACCAGAGAUUCUCUUGGGUAUCCAGUGACUAAUAUCAGUGCCAUGACCAAGAAGCCCCGCAUAGUGCAUCCCAUCUCCCCAUGUAUAGAUUUCCCCAGCCAUUGUAACAGCACAAGUAUGGAAUUCUCCACAUGCUAUAAAGUCAACAGUAGUCAUUGCCAAAGACUCAACCAGGCGAGGUUGAAUAACAUCUUUCCCAACGCCAUGGCCAAGCCUUCCACCAGAUUCUUCACCCCAUGUAAAAACUUCACCCUGCCUUGUGACCAUUGCAGCAUGUCUGAAUCCACAGGCAAUAUGAUGUACAUCUAAAACUACAUUAGAUUCUAAGGGCCUGGGAAGAAGCACAUCAGCUCUAGUGCUCAAAUAUGUGGCAUUCUUAUCAGCCCCGACCUUGACAGCAUUAUCACAUAUAAUCUCACCCCAUACGUAUACAUCACCUAAGGCAUCACAGUCAUCUGGUGCAGAACCAUGACUGGAAGUGCUGGGAGCACUGGAAACACUAACUCUAAAAGCAUCUGAACCAGAACCUUUGACUUGCAUAUUUGUGUUUUCUGAUGCUACAUGUGACCGAUCAGAAUGUGGAGAACUCUCAAGCUGAAAAUUCUUCGGAGAAGUAUUUGGGUUGAAACUGACAGAAACCUCUGGAGAGCUAAUAUCUCGUGAAAUACUAACAGAACUGUCACUAGCACUGUUUGGUGUUAAAUCUCUGCCAUCCUGAAAUCAGAAAUUUUCAUGACAAACAAUACACAGCAGCAUAAUUAGGAAACAACAAUGAACUUUGCACUGAAACAAGAAUAUAGCAUCACUAAUGUAAUGAACAAAGAAAACAAGACAGAACUCCAGAGUCAAGAUAGGGUACAGGGAAGGAAAAGAGGAAGAGGAGGAAGUAUGAGGUGAAAAUUAACUAAAGUUUCACUAGGUAUAGAAUUACAUCAAGAUAGAGGCCCCCGUCACUCCAUCCAUCGAUUUUGGAGCGCCCACCUUGACCAGAGAUUAUUAAUGCCUUCAAGCCUGCAAUCCACACCUCCGCCUCAACUUUGUCCUUGCAAAUCUGAAAACAUGACAUAUAAGAUUCACAAUUUAAGCAGAUAAAGAAGAAAAACACAACUUCACAACUUCAUCCUAUACCAGAUCGAGGGACCGCUUCCCGUUGUUGUAUAUAAGAGAAAAUGAUAAAUAGUCCUUUUCAGGGCGGAGAUAUCGUUGAAAAACAGCCUGGUAGCACAUUAAGAGAAAACAAAUAGAACGGGUUUAUAUAGUAUAUACAAGAACAGAAUCAUUAAAUAUACUAUGCUAUGCUAAAAACAUAAAACAGAUAUGAAAGUGAUGGCAAAUCUCACAGUUCUUUGUCCAGGAAUAAUUUUAGAGACCGAGGCUAACUUCAAACUUCUUUCACCACUGCUUGAAAUCCAGAUCAAAGUCGUUUCAUCCUGUGAUUUUUAAACAUAAGAAAAGUAGAGUGUUAAAAAGGGAAGGAUGGGAGAGAGAAGAGAAGAGCGGGCAAUCUGCAUGCUGAAUGACAAGGCCACAGGUUACAUCAUAUUUACCUAAGAAAGAAACAAUCAAACAGUAGAAGACAACACACUAGAUGAGCACAUGUAGAGCAAAUAAGAUGACUUGUAUUAAAGAUGACAUGGGAUUCUUCACGAAACACACUGACCAGUUCAUUAAGUUAUUCACUAAAGGCAAUAUAGAUGCUCACUGAAACACCACGUAUAUAAUCUACUGACCGAUAACAAACUCCAGUGGACAGGGUACACAGGUUUUGGGCAAAACAAUAACGAGCAAUUUGAUGUGCAUCGAAAAAUCCCAUAAAUGAUAUGUUAUAUAUAAUUUUCAUAGUUUAUUACAUAUGCAUGCCAUUGUAUGACCAUAUCUAUACAUCCUCAGAUGAUUAUAAUAAUCAUUAUAAACAGCAGUUCGACUGCAAAUCACACUGAAGAGGAUCAUUUGUUUUAUGAAAAAGUCAUUACCCUAAACAUUUAAAACUGAAAAUGAGUGCAGUAACAACUGAGAGUAUCCUUGGUCAAAUGCACAAGAAUCAAACUUACAUUAGAAAGUCUGAACGGACAAAACUUAGGCUUUCCCUUACGACCAUAUUUCAGAAGUUGAGAACCCUUCUUCAGAGCAAUCAAUGCCUGCAAGAUGCAGAAAGAUAAUUUACUACCAUUGGGAUAAUACCUUUGGUAUGUGGACAUUAUAUUAUUCAGUCAAUCAAAAAAAGAAAAAGGUGUUAAAUUUAGUUCAUUAUUUUAAACAUGUUUUGGCACAACAUGCUUGUUAAGAUUAUCAAGACACCAAAGAUUUCUAAAACGUACAGUUAUCAGAGGCACAUUAUUGCUUGUUAUAAUCAAAACUCGUUAUUGGAUCUGCUUGAAAGAGAUACCAUCCCACACCCCAUCUUAUAAAUUGAUCUUAUCCUUUACAAGUUUGCAAAAAAAAAAAUGAAAUCAACCUGCAAGUAUUGGCAUUGAAAGUAUGGCAAAUUUGGGUCAUUACAUAUGAUGAAAGCUAUUUGUUGAGCGAUCCCAUCAUAAGUCCAAAAAUAAUGGUCAAUAUUGUUCUUGGCAUACCAUAUAGUGUUCUAGUAUUAAGUAGAGGCGUAAGCACUUGUUCCCUCUAAAAUGCACCUAUAAACCCCCACUUCAAUUGCUAAAAAUAGCCAUAGCCAACUAAAAGUUUCAAAAAGAAAAAUGGAUGAAAAUGGUAGUGAAAACAUAAGGCAUUUUAUGGACCGUUAAGACUCUACUCCAGACAUAACCAAAAAGAAAGAAGAUAAAGAAGAACGAUGUAUCCUAUUUUCACUCGGAGAAUGGAUAACUAAAAGCAAGAGAAACAAUUUCCUUUAAUUUCUCCCCCUUUCAAAUAGGCCAACCUUAUUCCAUGCAAAUUUUAAAUUGAAUUCAAAAACCCAAAAAAAAAAAAACCAUCGAAUUAAGCACUUUUUUCUUUCAAAAUUUGUCAAGGUGAAACAAAUUUCCAUCUCAUUUCUCCACGAAUAGAAGAAAAUUACAAAUAAUAUUAACAAUAAAUUCACGCAAAAUUCAAAGGCAUUUCCCACCUAAAUAAAUAGAUAAAACAAAAAAAAAAAAAAUUCAAAAAAGAAUCCCAACCUUGACACUAAUUAAACGCACGCGUGGGUAGAGAGAGAGGAUGGUACCUGCUCGAUGUCACGUUCGGCAUUACCGUAGCUAACAAGAUCUGCCAUUCCAUGUGAAGAUAUUUACGAAAACACAACCUCCCUCUCCGAUCGCUCACCGGAGCUCCGUUCAUCAUAUACCAUCUACUUCCUCUUCACAUCAAUACCCCUCGCUCUCUCUAGCAAAAAAAUCAGCUCUUUACAGAUCUAUAAUUCUCUCGAAAACCACCAAAAAAAUCAAGUCAAAGCCGGUGAUCGUCACUGUUGACUAAGAAGAUUAAAGAGCGAAGAGCGGUUCCCACGGUGAAAGAAGUCGGUUUUGUGGCAGAUUGAGAGGAUUCCGACGAGAGAAAGUGGUGGUGUCGGGGAGAGAAACGGAAGGGAAGAGAGACUCUUCGGUUGUUUUUUUGUAAGAAUAAAUACAAGUACGGAGAGAGUCGAAGCCGAGAUAACAAAUGGGAACUUGUGUUAAAAACUUAAAUUGUUGUUGUGAGAGCAUGAAUUCUCCGGAGAGAAAAAAAAAUAAGAAAGCUAAGCCACCAUUAUUGCCCUUCUUAUUUUAUUUUACAUGGUUAUUAGAAAAGGUCUAUGAUAGUAUUCACAUAUGAAGUAUUACUUCUUCUUUUUUCAUUUUUUACUUUUCUAAAGUACUUGUUUGGUGCAUCAUUUGAAUUAGUUCUUAGAAAGAUCAGUGAGUAGGGGUAUGUUGCCAAGAUUAUUCGUGAAAAUAGUUCUCUUCUUCCCUUGAUUUCUUUCAAGUAAAGUUUGUGUUCAACGUCGUGGGAGUAGUUUGAUUUGUAGGUGGAUUAAUUUGGGUUAAUAUUUAUAAUGAAAUGCUAUAUUUUAUUAUUUUCUAAAAUAAAUUUAUAAAAUAUCAAAUUUUAUUGAUUGUGAUCCAGUCAAAUAAAUUUCAUGGAGUUAAUAUAAUUUCUUGAUUCAAUUUAAAACUUGAUCCAAUUCAAGAUCGUGAAUUAACCUAUAAGACCGAGCUGAGUUGAAUUACAAUGAUUUUAUAUAAAAACUUGAUUUUCCUAGAAAAUAAAACUUAUUAUUCAUACUAUGAUUUAAAAAUAAGUAUAAUUUAUUUGUUAUCAUGAAAGAGGGUUUGAAAUCUAGGUAAUUAUUAUUAUUAUUUCAAAUCUUGGGUAACAUUAAGAGAUUUUUAUUAUUUUGUAAAUUAUAUCUAUUUACAGUACAAUUAAUGUAAUGUAGGUUUUAUUUUUAUUUUUCCAUAAAUAAAAAUUAAAACUUCCAUGCCCCUCCUAUAAAUGGUAAUGAACUUCUUCACAUUUUUUUUCUUUAGAAAAAGAAAGAGGGGGGGGGGCAUAAAGGAAAAGGCGGGGUAGCCAAACAGGUCCUAGUUAUCGGGAGUUGUGAAGAGUUAACGCUCUUGUGUUAUGUUGGACUUUCUGCUUUGAGGCUGAGGGAGGGGGGGGGGGGCGCACGUAGAGGUAGUGGGGUGUAAGGUAACGGACACGCAACACAUUGAGAAGCUUAACGUUUGCCUUGGUACAUUUAAGUGACGAAAAUGCCUAUGAUGGAGAGUGACGUGGUGGUAAAAAAGCGGCGGUAUGUACUUGAGUCCACCGCAAGCGCAGGGGUAGGCUAGGUAACUUCCGUUUCGAUGAAAAAGAAAGCAAGGAUAUUGUGUCGAGCCAUUAAAAGAGAAGUCCUGCAUGGGUCCCAGGAUACGGUGCCGUUUAUGACGCUCAGAUUUUUGGAGACCAACGAGGAGAAUGUAUUGUAUGGCUUAGGCGAAACCAGACGCCUGGAUGUAAUAUCUUGGGGUUUUUAGUGAAUUUGAUAUCUCUCAUGAAAUCUAGGGAAUUAGGAUAAUACACGAUAUUUAGGUUGUAUCUGAAAUCCGAGGUCUUGUAGAUAUGUCCCAUGAGUUGAGAGUUAACGAUUCUUUGUCAGGUGUUAAGAGGGAAUCCGUGUGGUAGUUAGGUUAACAGUGUGUAAUGGAUCGGGUCAUUCGAGGCUUUUGCUUUUAGAUAUUGCCACUGGUUCGAUGUCCGUGUUGAGCCGUAAUUUAACGUUUUAUUUUUAUAAAAAAAUUUGUAAAAAAUUAUAAUAUAAAAAAUAAUAUUUUUUAAUAUUAUUAAUAAUAUUUUUUUAAAAUUUAUUAAUUAUUUUAUUAAUUAUAGUAAAGAUAAUAAUAUUUAUUGCAUAAAUAAUUAUAUUAAAAAUUUCCAUAAUAAUAUUCCUAUAUCAAUACUUUGAGUUAUAAUAAAAAUAAUAAUAUUUUUAACACAGAUAAUACUAUUUUUGAUCUGAACACUUUGAAUUGUAAGAGAAAAAAUAAUAUUUAUAACAUACAUUAUUAUUAUAUUAUCUAACCACUUUUUAGCAACGAAACUCUUUGUUUUUUGUGUUAAAGAGUUUCAAUUGAUGAUAAGAGUUCAAUUGUUACGAGUCAUGGUAAUAAAUGUACCUCAAAAAGGAGCUUAGGUUCUAUUUUGAUUUUUCUGAUUCGGUUAAUUUUUUUUUUUACAUGUGAUCCUAGGUUGUUAGAUAGUUUAUGAUACCUUGUAUGGUUUUUAUUAUGUGUUUUCGAGUAAAAACAUAUUAGGAGAUGGAUUUUCAACUCAAACUCUCCUAAUUUUUCAUAAAAUAAUAAAAUUCAUGAGCUAUAAAUAUAUCAUGAGUUUUUAGAGUUGAAGGUUCACGAUCUCUUCAUUCUCAAUAUUACCCAUAACCUGACUUGCCAUAUACUAUUUGUUAUUAUCACAAUUAUCGAUCACUUGACUUAUUAGGCAUUGUCUACUAUCAUCACAACUACUAAUCAACUAACCUACCAAGUAUCGCUUAUUAUCAACUAUCAACCCUCUAAGCUUUUUACAUAAAAUCAUUAAAUACUUUAAUUAUAUAAAAUAAAUCAAAUUAUUUGAAUUAAGAAAUCAAGUUUUAAAUUAUUUUGAAUUUUAAAACUCGUCAAUAUUCUUGUAUAUUUUCUUCAUUAUAAGUCCUCCGAGUAUACAAAACUGCAAACAAUUGACUUCUAUUUUCACUGUCAAAGAUCUAAAAAAAAGCUUAAAAGCUAUCAACAACUAUAAAGAAAGAAAAAACACGUACACAGGAAUAACAAUAAGAAAAUCACAUUACAAUUCAUCAAAUAAUUAAAUCGUAUACCUGGUUUUUGCUCCAUGCCACUCUUUUCGAGUCAUUUAUUAAUGCUUCUGAUAUCUCUUGCUGAUAAUGAAAAGUGGCAACUUAAUUAUUCAUGAAACUUUAUAAAUUAUCUGUAUAUCUCUAAGAGGCAAUUUAAUAAAAAUUAUUCGUAAAACUUUAUUGUCAUCACGUAUAUGAGAGAAUAUUUUGAAGAAUAUUAUUUCAAUCCUUGACCAUGCCUACAAAAGAGGCUAACACGGUUUUGUUUUGUAAAAUUAUUUUUAAAGAAGCUUUUAUGACAUCCAUACAUGUCAAUAUGUUAUUAAGCUCUAAAAAAUACCUAGAUGUAUAUCAUUCACACAUUCUUGAUUCAGUAUAGAGAUUUUAAAUUUAUUUUGAGAGAAUUACAUUUAGUGUAUAAAUUGCAAUUAUCCACUAUAAUUUGAAAAUUACAAGGUUAAGAAAAAAAUUUAGGUGAGAUAAAAUAACUAAAUUAUCUUAUAUAUAUUAUAUCAAAAGAACCUCGAAUUAAAGCCUAGGAAGAACCCUAAAUUUUAUUCUAAUCUCUCUCUGUUUUUUUUUCUUCACUUCCAUUUGAGAGAAGGAAAACCAGAAUUGAAGUGUCUCAUCAACCGCUUUCCAAGGUUUGCUUAUACCGUGGUUAUUUAUUUUUUUUAGUUUAUUUCCUCUAUUUUUUUUUUAAUCACAAUCUUCUACUCUCCAGGAAACGAUGGCAUAUUAUUUGACAACUGGGACAACAAAAAUUGUCAGCGACAAUACGUUAACCGAGACAUGGAUGGAAAAGCUGGCUUAAUUUUUUUGGCCUACCAAGUGAAACUUUUCACGGAAAAAGCGAGCGAGUAGAGAAAAUGCCGAAGAGAUGGUAUUGUGUGGAGAAACAUUGACUGGUCUCCUGCGUUUCUUUUCCCUAUAGAAUUUACUGGUGUAUUUAUGGUGAGCUGCUGUUUGGCUUUUAACGUAAAUUGUUUUUUAAAAUAUAUUUUUUAUUUUUAAAAAAUUAUUUUUGAUAUCAAUAUUUUAAAAUAUUAAAAAAUAUUAAUUUAAAAUAAAAAAAUAAAAAAAAUUCAAAAACAUUUUACAAACACAAAAACAAACAAAAUAUUCUUCUACUUGGAGUUGAAUGGCGGAAAUCUCUUUUCGGUAACCAAAUACCGUCAAUCUGCACUCUAUACCCUCAAUCAUCAAAUGAAAAUGACGAAUGAAUUUAAGUUCUUUGAUGGUUGCUUAACUUUAUAACAUCUUUACUUAGUCUUCUGGGAUCAUCCUUAGACCAAUCCGCCGGGAUCGAACCAAAGUUCUUCAUCAACUCUCUCUUUUAGGUGAGAUUCAUACCAACAUGUGGGAUUGUAUAGUGAAAAGGAGUCCGGUUGCAGCACUGUUAUUGGCUUUUUUAGAUCCCAUCGAGCUGAACUGUGACACCACUAUUUUUAUUUUUUUAUGACUCUAUAUGUCUGGGUUAGCUUACGCGCACCACAACUAAUUCUAGGGUCUACUGAAUAUCCUGCAAGCUCAGUAAGCGGGUAAGGCACCGCGGGAGUGACAAGCUGGUACUCUUAAGGAUCGAACCCAGGACAUUCACAAAGACAAGCCUUGCAGUUGACCAAUGAACUAGACCCUCAAGUAUUGACACCUAUAUUCUUGUUUUUGUGGGAGGGUGUUGAUUUGAUAUUUAAUAAAGUUUAUAAUUUUUUAUUUUCAAAAUUUUAUUUUUAAUAGCAAUACAGAUAUAAAAACAUAAAAAAAAUUAAUUUUAAUUUUUUAUAUAUAUAAAAAUACUCUAUUCAUAGCUAUAUUGACAGAUCGAAUAAGAUAUACUAAUUUACGUUGUUUUAGAUUACAUAAAUUCGGCCGAUCCAAUGUAUAAGAUCAUAGCUACGUGGACAUCGCUCAUUAGCUUAUCCCCUCCCAAAAUUUAUUCGUUUUCGUUUUCCAAUCGUGAUUGUGCGGCAGAAAAGACGUAAAAGAAUAUUUUUAUUGUGUGAUUUUUUAACAAAAUUUUAUGCCCGUCGUAUCACCAGCUUAUUUAGCAUAAACCAUAUAUUCUGCUUUGGAAUUUCAGUUUCAAAAUACCUUGUUUAAGAAAUAAAAAUAUUAAAAUACUAUAAACCAUACAUUCCUGUAUGGUGAUGUAAAAAGUUAUUUAUACUAUAAACAAUAAAAUGUAACAAUUUAUUGAUAGUUAAUCAAUCUUUCACUUGGAAAUUGGGAUGGUUCAAAAAUUUUAAACAUGGAAAACUUAAUUCAGUAAACAAAUAAAUUUUAUUUAUGUUAUUUAAAAUAUUGUUUAUAUUUUUAAAAAUGAUUAAAUAAUAUACGAGCUAAGAAAACUAAUAAAAACACACGUAAACAAGCCUACACUAAUUUAAGUCGAAAAAGAAAUCUCCAGGUAUAAAGUAUAAACCCUUCUCCUAAAAAUAAAAUAAAAUACAUCCACACAAUUUGAAAAAAGAUUUGAAUCUUUAUUAGAUGUUAACUCGAGGUUUUUGACAAAUUGUUUUAUAUUGACGUGAGUUUAAUUUCAAGAAAAAGAAAAAGAAAAAGAAAAUCACGUCAGAUUGGGUAAUCUACCAGAGUCCAAUCAGCACUUGAUUAUAAAGAGACGAGGAGGCUUGGUAGUCAAGGGAACACCAGAACGGAACAAAAAGUGACAAAACCCGUGUGUGGAUGGAUCGUCUGAUUCCUGGUCAUCUCAAAGCUUUUCGGAAAUCGAGGGAUGGUGACAUUUUUAAUUUAUUUUUAAAAAGCUUAGUGAAGUAUUCCCAUCACUGAUGAAAAGGAUUGGCAUUGCUGUGUGUGCAUUUUCUUUGCUUUUGAGGAGUGGCCAUUUUUAAAAUGACAAGAAACACCCUCUCACUUCUGGUGGGGCUUCUCCCUGUCCGAAGCCGUGUCUUUUUUUUUAUUUGGUAGGUGAGCGACCAUGUUUAUUUGAUGAUGUCUUUCCUGCAUUCUCACAGGACCCACUGUCUGAUUACCGGAGAUUGCCUUUUUAAUUUCUAAGUGGGAAUAGUAUUUGUUUUUUUUAAAUAUAAAAAUAAUAUAAUUUUAUAUUUUUAAAAAAUAUUUUUAACAUCACAAAUUAAAAUAAUUAAAAAAAUAAAACAAUUAAUUUUAAAUAGAAAAAAAAUUCAAAUUCAAACACACGGUAAUUAAAAGGAGAUCGCCUAUUUCUUUCCCUCUUCUUUUUCUUUUUUUCUUUGCGGCGAUUAUUAAUCUUUUUUUCUUACAAAAAGGGUGGAUUAUUUGACGACUAUCUUAGCCGCCUAUUCCGUAGACUUGUUCAAGUUUCCAUCAUUCAAGUUUCCGUCACGUGAUGGGAAGGGAUACACAAUGAAAAUUGGCCAUGGAACGUCGGUCGGUCUCCAUUGGCGUUCCCGUUUCAAGAACUAUCAACUUCUGGAUGUAUUUUACUCACGGCUUGAUAUUGUUGAUGAGAUAUUUUAAAGAUAUAUUUUUUUAGAUAUUUGAAGAGUAAUUAGUAUUAUUUUAUUACUUAUUUUCUAGAUUUUUUUUUUCAAUCAGUAUUAUCAAUCAUCUUGUCGUAUUUCUAUGAAAUAGAUUAUAUUGAACUAUGAAAUGAUAAAUCACGGUGAUGCAUUGUGCAUAAAUUUAUUUGAAUUAAAACACCAAAAAUUACAUAAAUUGAUUGUUAGAUUUUUAGUAGUAAAAUUAACAGCAAUAAAAAUUGACAGAUUGAAAUAUUUUAUUGAUUUAAUAUAAUGUUUAUAGUAAUAUUUAUUUUAUUUUAGAAGUAUAAAAAUUGCUCCAGGUUUUUUUAAAAAAGAACAUAUUUACUGCAAAAAAUAAAUAAAAAGUAAGUUUGAACUCUCCAUCAAGUAACGGGACACCAAAAACAUCUAAUAUAUAUAGGAAGACUUGUUUUGUGAGUUAUCACUAAUCGCUUUGAAAAAGAGUGAUGGUAAGUAUAUAAGGAUUCUAAUACUUCAUUGCCCAACUUUUGACAGCAUUUGGUAAGUUGGAAGACGGAUAGGUAUUAUUUAUUUUUGUGUUUUAAAAAUAUUUAAAUUUGUUUUAUUUUUUUAUUUUAAAUUAAUAUAUUUUUAGUAUUUUAAAAUCAAUUUAAUAUGUUAAUGUUAAAAAUAAUUUUUAAAAAAUUUUUAAAAAAUUAUUUUAAUAUAUUUUUAAAUAAAAAAUAUUUUUAAAAAUAAUUAUAACUACGUAUCUAAACAGGUUAAAAGUGCAAUUCACCUCAUGACAAUCCGUUCUAUCUUCUUCGCCGAUCUCUACCAUGUAGAGUGCAAGCUGCCUACGGCUAUUACUGAUGAACUUGAGAAAAAUUAUCGUGCCUUUAGUUGGGGGAUAGAAGGGUGGUAAUUAAGACGAAAAUGCAUCUUAAUCUUAUUAAUUAGGAGUCUGUCUGUCAACCAAACAGGCGUGAAGGAGCUGGCUGAAAUAUUUAGGCACUAUGAAAGUUGUCAUGUUGAUGAAAUUUGGCUGGGUCUGCUGACUCGAAAAGUAAUUUAUGGGUUGAGGUUUUAAGGAGCAAGUGUAAGGUUUGUGAGGACAUAAUUCCUGCUCUCUAGACUCUUUGCCAGACCGAAUUCGUCUCCUCUAUGGAAAGCUUUGUGCUUCGUUUAGCCUUGUGUUUUGGAAGAUGUUCUCUUGGAUCGGGAUUCGGGUUGAUUCUUGGAUAGAUGCUCUCUUGGAUCGGUUUCGGGUUGAUUCUUGGAUAGAUGGUCUUAUGGACUUUGCUACUGAUCAGGGUAAAUGGAGGCGAAGCUAAUUUGGCAGCUUUCUUCCGUCGUCUAUUCUCAAAUUGAUGAUGAUGAGUUGAUAUGGUAGCCUUCUUCGAAUGGCUGUUUCUCUACUGAAUCUACUUAUGAUAUAGACAAGUAUAGAUGGAAUUAUUCUAAGAAGAUAUGGUCUUUAGUGCGGGGUUGGAAUAGUCCUUUUUAUUUUUUUUAUAUUAAUAUGGUUAUUCGAACAAACUUACGUGUAAAUUUUUUUUAAAUAGACAAAUAUUGCUGCUCUCGUUUUGAUUUCUUUAUGCGAAAUUUAUUUUUUAAAAAUAAUACAUGUUGAUAAAUUUUUUGAAAUAAUGACAUGGAUUGAACAAAUACUUGAGAAACAGUACAAUUUGAACAUAAUUAUAUUUUUGUAUUUGAAUUCUUCAAGUUCCCAUAGACGACAUUAUUUAUAAAGUCUUAAAAAUCUAAGUAGUCUUGAAAUAAUAUUUUCGAGUUAGAUAAUCGAUUAAUUAAUUGAUGUUAAUAAUUUUAUUUAUUUUUAUUGAUCUAGAUAGUUGAUAGCUUAUACUUAGAUUUAUAGCUAGUACUUGUAAGAGAUCUCAUGGGGAUGUAGACUCUUCAAUACUUAAAUAAGCAUUUUUUUAGAGAAAGAAAAAUUAAUAAUAUUAUAGAAAAAAAUACUUUGAAAAUAUAUAUGCAUUAAAAAAUGAAGAUUGUGAAGCUCUUGUUCUGAAGAGUCUUGUGAUAUAUUUAUAGCCCAUGAAUUUUAUUUUUUUUAUAGAGAAAAGAAGCUUGAGUAUAAUUUUAUUUUGUGAUAUUUUAAAUUACAUUAUAAAUUGUAUUUCACUCAUUUUAUCCGGCUAAAAAAGAGAGAAAUGAUGAACCAUGAUUGAUUUAAGCCCACCUAGGGCUAUGUUUGACAUACUACCAAGCCUAAUCGUGAUUAAGUAGUAUUAAAUUUAAAUGUUUUUUUAAUUUUAACCGGUUAAAGAGUCAAUCUUUUUAAUUAUAUAUAAUUAGGUAAAAUUACGAGUUUUUUCCCCAUAAGAAACCGAUUGGAAUGGGAAAGUGUCAAAAAGUUUCAAUCUUCCCACCUUGAGACAGAGCAUGAGAAAUGUUCCAAUGUCCAGGUGGCCUUUACUCCAAUUAAGGACGAAAGUAGUUGAUCAAAGCACAGUAAGGGGCAACUUGGGAUGCCAUCAGCAUUGUUCCUCUCAGUAUCCUAUUGCAAAUUUGACUCUGGCCUCACGAGUAUACACUAUACACACUGCCCAUCGCUAAAUAAUCUGAACUAGCCUUUUCUCUCAGUGGUUGGAAAUUCGGCUUUCAUGUCGGAGGAAGUGCUCAUAUGCAGCAGGAAGGAGCUGUUUAUUUUUACCUUUUAAAAUAUUUUUGAAAAAAAAUAUUUUUUAUUUUAAAUUAAUAUUUUUUUAGUGUUAUUAAAUUAUUUUGAUGUGUUGAUAUUAAAAAUAAUUUUUUAAAAAUAAAUAUAAAAUAAUAUUUUGAUAUAUUUUUUUAAUAAAAUAUACUUAAAAAAAACAACACUUCUAAACAUACUUGAAACCCUUUGUUACGCCACACACAAAAUGUCAAAAUUAGGAGGUUGCUUGCUCUCACUUUUAAGAUAAGUGAUUAGCGUGGGUAAAACAUCGAAUUGAAAUCUCAUAAAGACUACAUUUUCAAUUCGAUAAAAGCAUCUCCUUUGCCCUACAAUUAAUAUUUUACUAAUUUACUCCACCAGUCUAAAUAUAAGCAUAUUUGUGUGUGUUAAUGAUCUCUUGAGUUUCUAUGGCAGCUUACCAAAUCUAACCAUUAAAAUAAAGUUUUUCAUUCAAUCAUGGCCCGUUAAAAUGAAAGAAUUAUCUCGCAUCAAGAGGUUGGUUUCACAGCUCGGCAAUCAUCAAUAAAUUAUGAAAAUAAAUUUCAUCAAUCCCACCUGUGCUUGCAUUGUAAUCUUUGACGUGGUUGGGAAUUAACCACCACGAGCACGUUCGCAUUCAUUUGUUAACCUAAUUUUAUGGCCCUCCAUCAACCAAGUAUGGUUCCAGGACAAAACAGCUUAACAAUAUGUAGUUAGCCCAGUUAAUCAAUCCACUUUAUGUUUUGUUUUUAAGCCACCUGUUGCUUUGUUCUGUACCAGAAGAAAGCAGGUUUUGCCAUGGAAGCGAUCCCAUUUCACCCUCUUUCUCUGUGUCCUGUCACUUACAUUCACAAGCUGCUAAAUUAUUUCCAACAGCUUGAAUAACAAGACAUGGCACCUUAGGCCCAGUUUGGUUGCCAUCAUUUUCUUUUUUUUCAUUAGUUUGUAAACAUUUCUGUUCUGAGAAGACAUUUUGAGACGAAAUGUAAAUAUGAUUGCGAAUCCAAUUCCUCCGUUUCCAUACAAGGGUUAUAUACGGCGACAUCAAAUUUUAGAAAAAAUGUCAAAAGUUGAGAAAGCAUCUCGGUAAUGAUGGGUUGGAUUAGUGAUUAGAAUAAUGGUGCUAAACUAGUAAUGAUGCGCUUAUUAUAGUAGCAACGUGAUAAAGACCUUGAAAGCCGCCUUGUUGCAAUAAUUUUGAUGGGGGCAGUGAGAAUCUUGAGGCGAGUGAGAUGAAGCAUAAAUGAUGAGAAAGGGGAAGUUGAACGAGAGAAGGCUAACUUUGGGGACAAGAAGCCAAAAUUGUAAAGCGAGGGACCGCUCGAUUUCAUACAAUUACACAGCCCCCAUAGCCUGGUCGGCCUCUUGUUUUGCAUAUGGGGCCAUUUGCAUUUUAAGGUACAAUAGAGGGGUUUUAAAAAAAUAUUUAAAAGAGAACAGGAAACACUCGCGAUUUGACUGUUAAUUCUCAUAAUGAAAUGAAUAUUUUGCUCUUCAUAGUAACAACCAUGAAGUGAGAUUUGGAAGGUAAAAUAGUUUUUUUACUGGAUUUAUUUGACACUAUAAAAUUAAUUUGGGGUAAAUCGGUUUAUUUAACUAUCCUUGAAAGCAAGGAACCUAAACUGACGUAUUGAAAAUUUGAAACCUUUUAGUCUUCUCGUUUUUUUCAAAAUACUAAAAUGGGCCUUUUUUUGCAGUGAAAUCCCUCCUCAUCUUGAAGUUAUGAAAUUUAAUAUAAAAAAAUUGUUUGACAUGGCGACCUAAUGUUUCCAAUUAAUCCAAUUCAUACCCCUGCAUUUAUUACGCUCACACACACAGAUAUAAAGUAACGUUUUGUGGAAAAGAAGUCACAGAACGGAUUCCAUUGCCCCCCCCGCUGGAUGGCAAAUGCUGCUAGAGCUUUUUCGACGUGAUUGGAUCUACUUUGCGAUAUCUUUUUCUUCCCCGUGUGAAAGAAGUGCCUGAUUAAUCAACUUUCAUGAAAACAAAUUAUUUUAUUUUAUUUAUCCUUUCUUUUGUUUUUUAUUUAUCCUCCUUCCUUCCUUCCUUCCGGUACUUCCAUUUUAGCCGAUCGAGUUUCCUCCUUCCAUUGUAGCCUGAACCCACACUCGAGUUUCUCUACAGUUGAUUGCUAAUCCUGCAUGGUACUUUAGGAGCACGCAGGCGAGGAGCAUGUUGCAAUCAUAGGCAGAGAAGACAAAAUAUAUUUUCCAGCAGAUUGAACAAAACAAAAUAAAAAAAGGGGGUCGUCAUCCUAUAUGUUAUCAAAGCACUAUCCAGGGCCCGGAAAUUUGUCAUGUCUACAUCAUUCGAAGUAUGAAUACCUUUUCUACUCACUAAUGGAGACCAAAGGGUGUUUUUCUUGCGCUUUUAAGAAGAACAUGGCGCUACCAGUGCCACCCGUCACAGUUAUGGAUAAUGCUUGUAAUCAUUAGUGAUGACAGUGUGACUCGUUAUUCCAUUGUCGAAAAACUUUAACAAUAUCAAGCUAAAACUAACACACUCGCAGUCAUUUUUCCCUUCAUAGGAAAUUAGUGUAAGAGGUAAAUACAAGUUAUCUCACCAACCCAGUUUGUGUAGGAAAUUACUGUUACUUGAAUCAAAUCUAACCGCAAUAACUUACAGCUCUUUUCUCAAAUCACAAGGGAAAUAACGUAGUUUUCAUUUCUCAAGUGCCAUACCUUUUAAAGUACGUAGACAGAUUUAUAUAUAUUAUCUGUGGAGAUAAUUCUCUCUUCCAAUUCUCUCUCAUUUAUUCUAUUAUAAGGUUAAAUAUUUUAUUAACGCAGCCGAACCAUUGCAGAAUUCGGAUUUUGGAGUUGGGUCGUGGUUACAGGCUUGGCGUUUCCCGUGUCCGAUCCUUGCGUUUUUUUCUUCUUUUUUUUUCUAAAUAAAUAAAAAUGCUGGAAAUAUGCAUUCAUGGAAUAUACACUACACAACACAUGCAUAUAGGUGAACUGACCACUCAAACUUGUACGAAUUAUAGGAGCCGAGGUGUUCACGUGGGAAUAGUAAUUAAAUUGUGCACUCACUACUGCAAAGACGAAGGGGAAAAUCUAAUUUCGAAACUACUUGGGAUCCAAUAUAUAUAGAUAGAUAGUCUCCUCUCCUACAUCAAUGGAGAUUCAAGGACCCGUGAAGAAACUACUAGUGAACGGGCCUGGGUAACUUAAAUUCUUGCGUGAGAUGCUGGACAUGCGCAAGUAAACUGGGUAUCGUGAAGGCAUUAAUUUUAAUUUCAUAUUUCUUUCCUUCUUUCUCUUCCUUGUCUUUUUAUUUCUUAAAUGAAUUUGCCAAUUCUCAUACUUCACAAAACAAAUUCACCUGUUUUGUUUUGGAUCUGUUGACUUGGUUUUUUUUUAAUGUUUCCAAAUUAAACGAUUUAAUGAUAUGCCUAAAAUAACAAGGACACCCAACACACUCUUUAAGCUAUCUAUCAAAUUGACAAUGUAUGCUCUUAAAACUUGGGUGGCGCAUAAUAUUGUGUUGAUUUCUGCCUUUUAUAUAGUUUUUUGUCUAAAACAAUAUUAAAUUAAUGAUUUUUAAGUGUGUAUUUUUGAUAAUUUUAAUGUAUUGAUAUAAAAAAUAUUAUUUAAUAUAUUUAAAAUUAAAAUUUAUUUUUAAAAAGCACUCCACGAUAUCAAAUAUUCAUUAAUCAAUCUCCUUUGAUUUUUUUCAAACCAUGGAUUAAAUCUCUUGCCCUUCCACAAAUAACAUCAUCGACGUCCCACUUGAAUUACCUACAUCCAGAUGGCUUCCCACCCUCGUUUUUCAACCGAGAUUGGGAUUUUUAAUAUUAAACUGAGAAUUUCUUAUUAAACAUGUUAAUACCUCUGCUCAUGGGGGACGGAUGACAUGUCAUUUGUUUGCCGAAGUGUCACAUGAUCCUCCUCCACGAUGGACCAGUAAAAUUAUGAGUGUGGCAAGUGAUAUUCUCUUCUAUCCAUGUCAACCUAUUACCUGCUUCAAACACGACACGUGUGAUUCUAAAGUCAAAAUUAACCUUCAUUGUCAUUGACCUCGACCUCUAACCGAAGGAUUUUUAACGUGUAACAGUGCAGAUAAAAAAAAAAAACAAUACUCAAUUGCCGAAAUUGAUAAGUGUUUUCGCCAAAAAUCAUAAAAUACAUAAUAAACAAGUUGUCCUUUAGCGUGAACAAAUGGUUGCAUGUUAAAUUAAAUUAAAUUAAAUCUAUAUAAUUUUGGAAACCACGUGUUAUGUUUCCUGAUGAAAAAAUGCUUUUAAUUUUUUUUUUUUGUUUCAAAUUAAUUAGGGCUAGUGUUUUUAAUUUGUUUUAACAUGCUGAAGUUAAAAAAUAAUUUUAAAAAAUAAAAAAUAUAUUAUUUUAAUGUAUUUCUAAAAAAAACAUUUUAAAAAUCAAUUAUUAUUAUUCUACCAAACACCAUCUCAAAAUGAAUGUGAGAAAGCACACCUUGUAUGCAAUGCCAUUUUCCUGUUAUUUUACCUAUAGCGGAAAACUACAUUUUCCUGGUUAUAUUAACUUUUCUCCAAGUUUCUUUAAUUAGUUAUAGAUCUCAGAUUAUUAUUUCCUUACGUCUUAAGAUUCAAUUUAAUUUUUAAAUAAUUUUAAAAUCAACAUCAAUAAUAAUACAUUACAGUAUAAAAUACUAAAUUGAAGACUUGAAAUCAAUAAAUUAAAGAAGGAAAAACUUUCCCAGAUAUGAAAUAAACUCUGACAUGCAUGCAUGGCAGGAGACACAGAUUCCACAACAUGGAUAAAGUGGAAAAAGAAAUGAAGAAAAGAAAAGGCAAGUUCAGUGUUUGUUUGUGGGAUCGUGUAUGUCGUGUCUACAUCAAAUCCCGACAUGCAGGGGCUAGGUUUCUUGUUCCGACGAGUAAAAUGGUAGCAGAGUAGCAGCGACUCUCUCACACUGUAAAAUACCAAAAGAAACUUGUUAGCUUUGAGUUGGCAACAUCAAUAGGGGGCUUGCAUAUCACUGCUCAUUGCUAGCUUCCAUUUUGUCUCUCAUGGCGAACAAGAUCCAGUGAUGAAAUUAUUAUCAGCGGCAGACCCAUUUUCAGACUUCACUGUAACAUGGAGAUCCUCGUGAUUAACUUAAUAAAAAUAAGGUGUUUAACCGACAUCAAUAUUGUGUGGAUGCUAUUAUAGAUUACCCUUUCUUGACAAAUGAAAGAUUUUUAUCCAUAUCGGUUCUUUUAAUGUAUUUUUUAACAUAAAAAAAUUUAAAAUGUAAAUCGAUCAAAAGUCUAUGAUAACGUCUAGUUAAAUAAACUAAUAAUUAUUUAUGUAAAUAAAUAAAUAAAUAAAUCAUUAACAAUAAACAAAUAAAAAAAUAAAAAAAAUAAAAAAUAAAUACGGAUUAAGAUAUUCAGUCAUACAAAAUGAAACAUUUAUCCAAUUGUGUCUAUUAAAUUUAUUUACUUAAAUUAAUAAAAGAUAAAUCUAUACCCUAAAAAUCUCAUAACAUAAAAGAUAAACAUAAAUAAAAUUGACUAGAUAAACUCGCCCUAAAAACAUUACACAAGGCCGAAUACGUCAUCAAUAUUAUUUACAAACAAAUAUUUUUUAUUUUAAAAAAUAAUUUUUAUUUGUAUAAAACAAAAAAUAUAUAAAUCAAUUAGAAUAAUAUCUUAAAAAAAUCAGCAAACAAACAAACAAACAAUUCUAAAAAUAAUCAUAUUAAAAAAAUGGCAUGCAAAACACGUUACUUGAAUCAUGAGACCGGAACAAAUCCAUAGAAAAAAAUUCAAGAUCAUCACAAAACCAAUAUUUUCUUAAAAAGAAAAAAAAUAUAUAGAAUUAUUAGAUCGUACGAAGCCAAAUAUCCAACAAAUCAAAUGUCAAAAGAUUAAAUUAUAAAAAAUAAAUCCAAUUACAUAAAAGCAUUCAAAAAAAAUUAAAGGUGAAAAAACAAUUCAUUAAAGGGCAAAUAAAGAUUUUAUUUGACCAGUUCUUUGCAGCAGGCCGUAAAUUUAUUUUUAAGAAAUUAAAAUAGAAACCAAAAGGUGUAAAUCAAAUUUAUUUGACGAGUUCUCGAGUAUAUAGAUAUUUUGAUAUGUUUUUUUAGGUAAUAAAAUUUUAAGUGUAAAUAAAAAAGUCUACCCAAAAAUCUAAUAAUUAUAUAUAUAGAUAAAAAAAUCAUGAAUAAUAAUUAAAAUAGAAAGUGAAAAUAAAAUAAAAAAUAGAUGUGGAUUAAGAUAUUUGAUCUCGCAAAUGAAGACAUUUACCCACUUGUAUCAAUUGAACUUGUUUAGUAAAAUCAAUAAAAGAUCAUGAAAAUAAAAACACAUAUGAAAUCAUGUGAAUAAAAUAAAAAAUACAAAACAAAAUAAAUAACAAUUAGAAGAAUUGUAAAUGAAUUCAAUAUAAAAAUUAUCUGAAAUUAAAUGUUUUGUGAAAAAUGAAAUGAAAUUAAAUGUUCUGAGAUAGAAUUGAAAAAAAAUAAUAAUUAAAAAAAUGAAUAACAAAAUAGAAAUUAAAAGAAUUAUUAGGGAUGAGAUGAAAAUAAAUCAAUGUAAUUGAAACAAUUCCACCUAAGAGAAAAUGGAUUGAAUAAAAAGAAAAAGGAAAUUGGAGGCUGGUUUGAUUUUUGCAUGGUCGGCACGCAACCCGAAUAUAAAAAAAAAGGAAAAUAAAGAAAGAAAAAAGAAAAUUAGUGUCAAACCCAACACAACCCAACCGAACCACCAUAUAUGUGCUGCUAAGAGAGGAAAAUGAUGUCGAAACCAAUCAAAUAAUGUGAUGGGAGCACAAUUAAAACCAUUGAAGUCAACCAAAUGCGUUGCCCGAAGGUGAUGGAGCUUCUAAUGCAUCUGGGUACGCAUUAACAACUAUAAUUUUUUUUGUACAAAAUAAAAAAUGCUUUUAUAACUAAAUAAUAAUAAUAAUAAAUAAAUUAUUAUGAAAUUACAACCAAGCCCCUAAAACCAAAGCUGAAAACAUUGGAUGUGAAGGGUAAUGGAAUAGUUAUAUUAUAAAAUAACUAAAGGCCCUUAACCAAAAGUUAUGACUAUUUACUUUUCAAUUUCAAUAUCCUAAUUUUAUUGUUAAGAUCAAUGUAAAAUUCUACAAUGCCUCUUAUUACCUUAUAAAAUAACAAAUAAAUUAAUAGAAAAAAAAAACACCACCCCAUCCUAAACCUUAGAGCUGCAAAAUUCUACCUUUCAAGUCCACGAUAUAAUGAAUUUAUUAUGUCUUGGUUCUGAAUGCAUAUGCAAUAAAAGUAUCACAAAGUUUAGAUCUUGUCUCGAAACACGGUUCAAAUUGUGUUGUAUCAAAUUUUGAGAUUUUGUUUUUACAUAAAAUUAUUAUUUUUUAACUUUUGAGAUAUAAUUUUUAAAAUUUUUUUUAAAAAUAUUUUGAUGCAUUUCUGAAAAAAGAUAAUCCAAAUUUACAAGUAAUACUUAAUAAUAUUUGGUCAAGUAAGGCCCGGCCAUAACACAUGCAGCGGGCUAUUGGGAUAGUCGGCCCGAAUUUACAAUCGUUGGGCCCAUAGGUAAGAUUAAUGAUCCACGUUCCCCCACCAGACAGAGAAACCUAGUGAAUAAUAAAAAACAAAACAAAACAAAAAGAAAGACAGACGAAGUUAAUUCUGUUUCUUUUUUCUCUCCCCCUUGAGACCAAUUGUAGGGUUUUGCCAAAAAUCUCAAAACUCCAAAGAAAUCCAAGCCAAAACCUACCCUGUCUGAUUAAGAAAACCACAAGAAUUCUUCUCUUUCUUACUUUCUGCCCAUUAACAAUGACAGACGGUUACUGGAAUCGGCAACAGCCUUCCAAUGUCCCUUCCAGCGGCAUGCUAAAACGACCUCGUUCCGACUACGGUACGUUCUGCUCUCCCUUCCUUUUGUUAAAUGCAAAAUUUAGAGUGCCAGAUUAGGAUUACUGUAUCUUUUUGUUGGAAUUAGAUCCAUAAAUUACUGUUACAAUGAAGUAUGUUGGAACUAUUGGUCGAUUUAAAAAAAAAAAAUUAAUAGAGGCGGUGCCUGCUGUUGCUACUGCUUGGUUGUCUGGUUCGAUAAUUUGUAUAUUUUUGAGAAGUAAGAUGUGGAUAGAAGUCUCAACGGAUUUGAUUUUGGGGGUCUUGCAGAUAUGCCUUCAAGCUAUGAGAUGCAGAACUACUAUCCGCGAGAUGUUGAUGAUGAUCGCACUAGGUAUGAAACUGUCAAGGACAGUAAGACUAUAGGAUCAGCAUAUGACCGCUACCUUCAGAAUGCGGUAUGGUUCUUUUCAAACCCUAUAUAUUGCUGUUUUGUUACCCCCCUGUGUAUUUGCUGAUCUACUCGUCCUUUUUUGUGAAGCAAGCUCCUACGUUUGCUUCUAGAGAAGCCAGUGCAUUGGGAGGAGCUGGGUUUGGAAGGGGUAUUGGUGGUGGAAUGAGUGGUCUUCCGAUAGCUGAUUCUGCUGUAAUGACUCGCCCUCGGUCUGCUGGUCUAGACCUGGCAUCGAAUGGUAGAGAUGUUGGUUUUGUUCGUCAGCGACCAGAGGAUAGAAUUGCUAGGUCAGAUCGUGAAAUGGCACAUCUACCUCCAGAUGCUUCCAACACUUUAUAUGUUGAAGGAUUUCCUCCUGACUGCUCAAGGAGGGAAGUAGCUCGUAUCCUUUUAAUGUCGUAGUGAUGUUGCACAAUAAUGAUACCCUUUGUCUUGCUCUUUUUAUUAGUUACCAAGGCUUUCUUUCCAACUAUGUUUUAUGUUCCUUUACUGGAUGUGAUAGAUAUAUUUCGACCUUUUGUGGGAUAUAAAGAAGUUAGACUUGUGAGCAAAGAAGCAAGACAAGUAAGUAGAUGAGUUAGAGUACUUUCUCAUACUUGGUUUAGUAAUCUGAUGCUCAAACUGGCUUUUUGGAAAGUGUGACUAGUCUUUCAUUGAAUGCAGCGUGGUGGAGAUCCUAUCAUCCUUUGUUUUGUUGAUUUUGUAAAUCCAGAAUGUGCAGCAACUGCGAUGAGUGCCUUGCAAGGUGAUGAUUUUGCCUUUUUAUCUAUCUAUAGUGAAACCGAUGCUAGGGGUUGGAGGCUUUCUUAAUACAAUGAUGUUUGCUGCUAUUGUACUUUACACUGUUGUAUAUGGGUUUGCGUGUGUAAGACUCACCUUAUUAACAUUUUUUUUCUGCUGUUCACCAAUUUACAUAUUCCUAUUACUAAGUUGGUUCUGAAGAAAUUCUUGCAUGAGAAUGAUAUGUACCAUGGCUUUGCUUUUUUUCUCCUUCCUGUAGAUGGGUUGGGGGGGGGGGCACUUUUCACCAUCCAUCUUGCCACAAUAAGAAUUGGAAUUGCAAAUAAAAGUCAUUCCAUGAUAGUAAUUUACUCAUACUUGUUUGAAAUGUCUGGAGAUGCUAACUACAUGGAUGUAAUCUGCAGGUUAUAAAGUUGAUGAACAUGAUCCUGAUUCUAGGUAUUUGAGGCUGCAGUUUUCUCGACACCCAGGCCCAAGAUCUGGCCCUAUAAGCCGUGGAAGGAGGUGAAAAUACUUGUUGCAGAAACACCUAGCUUUCAAUGCAAAACAGUUUCUUAGUUUGCAUUCAUCCACCUUUUCAGAGUGUUUAUUUAACAAUCUAUAAUCUAGAACUUGCAAGCUAGAUUGCUCAUCCUGGCUGUACUAGUUAUGUAUAAUCUUGAUCUACCAAAAUAAUGAGGGUUCAAUUAAUUGCAGGAAAUGACUUGGUAGUUUACCGAUUUUAUUUAGCAGAAAAUGUUGUGUGAUGAUUGUUGAAUCUCAAGUCAUUUACCUUUGGUGUUGGGAGUUAUUUUCUAGCGAUUUGUUUCUAAUAUUUGGAAUGUUUAAAUUCUUGGCUUUCGCUUUAUGAUUCCAUGUAAUCCUUGUGUGGUGCAAUUGAUUGAAGAUCCUUCUGGGGAUAAUUUAAGCGCGCUACUCGCGUGACAAAAGAUGAAUAGUAUUCAAUUAGGAAAUGCUUUAACUAAAUUUUUUUUUUUUUUUUAAAUAAUUGUUGAACUUUAGAACUUCUAGAGACUUGCAUGAAUGUGGUUUCCGGUUUCAUGGUUGCUAAUUUGCUGUGUUUUUACGAUAAAUGCAUUGUUUGCUGGGAAGUUGCAACCAUUGCAUAGCUACCCUAUAUUGUUGCUGCAGUCGUUUGGGUAAGUUUAAGCAUCUUUUUUUUUUUGGGUAAAGCUAUUUACUGUUUGUACUCUUCUUUUUAUGUUUGUUGAUCUGCCGCCCCUUGCUUUGGAGAAGCUCGUCUAGCAAGUUGUGGAAGAGAGAUCUUUUCUGUUUGUGUUUCAUCUUUCUUUAUGUUUAUCUGCAUGACAGACUGAUGAACUUUGUUGAUCUGUUCGUUUGGAACUGCAUCGAUCGGCAUUGCAUUAUAGGUUCGCUAUCUUUCCUUGGACAGUUAAGCACACGCUUUUUCGCCUUCCUGUCUCCACUGUCACUUCGCUUCAUUGAUUAGCAUUUUGCAUCCGGCACUCAUGGAAUGAUUCAGAACUGAUACCUUGUGAUGCUCGGACUCCUAUGGCUUUCCCCAAGUACCUUUGGUGUCUACAUGGGUACGACUCCUCCAGAACUCUGAACACGGCAGUUUUGGUUUUCAGAUACCAGUGCCGUCGUGGCAUUUUGUGUGUUUUAAUGUCCACGACGUAGAUGAAAAAAGGAGGAACGAGAAGAAGAAACAACUGGCCACAAAAUUUUUAACGCCAUCCAGUUGGAUUAAUACAUCUAAAACCUUAUUGAAAUGAAUAUGGGCUUACUUGUAGAAUUAAUUGGGUCAUGAAUUAAUGAUAUUUGGAGUGGGAAUUGUGGGCUAGCUAAAUAGCUUCAUAUCAAGAAAAAGUACUGGUCUCCAAGAAUUUUCUGUAUAUUUUGUGCGAAGUGAAAUAAUCUCGCUCCCGCAUCCAAAAUUUAAAUAAUUCCAAGCUGUCUCUUGUAAAAUCUUAAAUUUGAGAAGUCCAAAUAUCUGAUAUACGUAUAUGAGUCCGAGCAAUAUAACUUACACAGCCAACGCCUUCAUCAGGAUUAUUGACCACUUGCUCGUUAACAAAAAUUACAAGACAUUUUUUUACAAGUACCAUAGCACUAUGGAUAUGGAUCACAAUGGUGCUAUGUUUAUUUUUCUUCUCCAAAUUUUAUUUUUUAUUUCAUCCUUUCCAGGAUCAAAUUGAUGGCCGAUUUAAUUCAAUUUGUUUAGAGAGGGUAAAAUUCUAAGAUAGAGGAUUAAAAUAGAGGAAAAAACAUAGAAAAUGGGUGGCUGUUUCUAAAUUGCAUGAAAAGUUCACUUUGAUCCUCUUACUUUUCCAAUUAAUUUUUAUUUUGUUCCUUUGGUUUUUUAUUUUUUUUUAAUCAAGAUUUCAUUUUCAUUAUUCUUCAAUCCUCCGUUUGAGAGUGAAGAGAGAGUCGCUAGAUUUCAGUUAAAGAGAAAAUCUUGAUUAACAUUGAUUUUCACAAUGAAAAAACUUUAAUAUUUGUGUUAGCGAAUUUCAUUUGACAAAAAAAGUUUUGGGGUGUUUUUAGAAUUCACAUCGCUUGGAAUGAUAGAUAUGAGUUUGAAAAGAUUUUUAAAUUUUGAUUGAUUUUAAACCAAUUUUAAGGUUAUUCAAGGUCAUAAAUUGAUUUAUCAAUGUCGUAUAGUAUGUUUUUCAGGUGUUUUUGAGUUAAAGUAGAUUGAAAAUCAAAUUUUUAGAUGAAAAAAUAUUCAUGGCCUGACUUUCCAAUGAUCCUCUAGUAGUUGAAACUAGACCUGCAAAUAAUACAUUAUUUACACCAUUUUUUAUAAACAAAUUAAGGGCGCAUGGCGCGCCCUUUGCCCUUUAGUAUAAGAAAAUUAAAAGGACUGGCACACAAGGCAUGUUUUUUUUUUUUUGAUAGGCCAUGCAUGUAUGGCAACGCCCUGCCUGGCCUAUUUCGUUUGUUUUUUUUUCCCCUCUUAUUCUUCCCUCUAAAUUUUACAUUUUAAUCAAUUUAAAUAGAAUGACUAAAAAAUAAUUUAAAAUUUUUUAUUGAAUACCAUUGAAAUUCUAUUUUUUUAUGAAUAACUCUUUUUUUUAUAUUAGCAAACGUUUCUUUUUACAACUCUUCAUGAUUAUUUUAGAUUUUAUUCUAUCACUAUUUUCUUUCUUGUUUGAUUAAAGACUAUUUGACUCAAAUGAAAAAUAUUUCUUUUAUAACAUUUUUUUUAAUAUUAUCCCAUGUUUUUGCAGCCCUUCAUAAUGCUUUUGGCUCCCAAUAAUUUUUUUUACUCAUAAUGAAAAAUUAAAAAUUAUUGCUAACGAAAUACGUUGCUAAUGGUUAUAUUUCUUUUUAGCUAUCCGAUCUACGAACCGAGCCAAUGUACUAGUCCAUCUCUAUUUCAUGUUUGUAAAUUCCAAAAUUUCAACUCAAUUGCAAGUCCCAGUCCCCACUCAGGGCCUGUGUUCAACUAAGCAAUGGAACCCAUUACCCAAAUAUUGCCGAUUAUGCCUCCCAGGCCCAUCCUCGUUUAUCGGGAUCCAAUAAACCGACGUACAAAAUACAGAGGUCUGCAUGCUGGAAGGAGAGGCCAGGAAGGAAAAAAUAAAAUUGGUUUGCGUUUUUUUUUCUGAGCCGACAAUUAAUUAUCACCCUCGGGUUUGUAUUAGUGUAUGCAAGGAGACAUAAUCCACUUUCCAGAUAACGUUAAUGUGGUUUAGGAUUUGGGUAUGUUGGGAAUUUAGUUAAUUAAUCAAAUUAAUCCAUCUAGUGAAGGUGUAUUCCCAGCUAUUUGCCUAGCCAGGCAUUAUCUAAACCUUCCAAUUAAUCCUCGGCCCCCAAAGCAUGUUUGGUAAGAGCUAGUAUUACAAAUACAAUAUGUUAGGAAUUAAGUGUUUUUUUUUUGUCUUUGAAUAAUGAAUAAUGAAUAAUUAUAUUAUCAUGUCAAUAUUUUAUUCUCCAGAUUUAAGGGGGUGGGUGGAUGAUUGGCAGUAGUUUGGUGGGGUUUAGAGAUCUUUAAAUAAUAAAAUCAGUACAAUAAAUAAAAGAAAAAAUCUUAAAAUCCAAAUGGAUAUAGAUACAAUCAAUCCCUUCCCAGUUCCCACCGAUUAAUGAUUUAUCACCCUUGCCUUUACAAUGAAUCAUGCUCAAAAAGCGCCAAAAUACGUAUCCAUCAGUAACAAAACAAAGACACGUUUCCAUGUAUGCAUUGAAUCUUCAUUUUUCAAAAGCAUAUGCCUAACCAGGUGUUAAAUCUGUUGAUUAAUCAAAAAUAUUAUCUUAAAUGUGUUACAUCAAUGGAUAAGUUUUCUUUCCUUGCGAGAGAAAAACGAGAGCGAUUAAAUUGGUUUCAUGUCAUGACAGGACCGUAUCUCUGUUCGAACUCUGGUGGUUAAACCUAAACGGGUGAAUGGAAAUCAGAUAAAGAGAAUCAAUCCAUUAAUUGUUCUUUCGUGAUCACUUUACGUGUCUGCCUACAAGGCGACGUACGUCUCUAUGCGAAGAAGAAAUUACAAAGAAGGAGAAACAGUAUGCUUAAUUAUUUGUUCGUUUCUUAUUCUAUUUUUAGAGGGUACAGUAGCAACCUGGUUCCAUCAUGCAGUCUAUUUUUACAGAAGAAGAAGAGUCUCGUUAUAGAAGAUGAUAGCUCUUUUCAUUGGUAAAAGUUCUUUUAAAAGCUUAUAAAGGAAAAUAAUUUUCUCAAAAACACUAGAUUUUUUUCUCCUUCUGUGGUGCUUAUCUACGCUUGAUUCUAUGCAUGCCCUUUUCUUCUUCUUGUUUUUCUUUUUGGGAGCAAUCUAUGGCAAGUGGUUGUAUUAUUUCACUGGUUUAGAACAAUGCAAUUGAAAUAUAUCAAGUCCUGUAUCGAGAAGUUUGAACUGCUAUGUCUAUCAGCAAUAAAAAGGAGCCUCACUGGCAAAUUAUGGCGAACCAGGCCAGAAACUGAUCCCCAUUAAGUUAAGUUAUGGACUCAAUUGCUCACAAAGUCACAAUCGAUCGCUUUCAUGUUGAACUACAGGGUGAUCGUAAUUAUUACUAUUAUAACUAUAUUAUGACGAUGAACGCAUUAGUUGAAAUAAUUCAAGGUAUUUGAUUAAUUAAUUGGCAAUUAACACUUUCAUAGAGUUUAAUUUCCACGACCCUUUGGUGCGAAUCUGGAAUUUUGGAGUCUGAACAUAAUUAGGUUUCAAGAUAGACUCCAGGCUGUUUUGAUUAGGUUCAGCGAACAAUAGACAAUGAUUAGGUUAAUGAAUUGGUAUAGUUUUUCUUCUUUUUUUCACGGUCAUAAUGGCCUCAAUAACGAGAUAGUCAUGGUUUAGGUAAUGUGCUGUGAAUCAUUAACAAUUUCGAUAUAUUUACAGGCUGCAGGGAUAAGAUCAUCAAAUUGCUUUCUUUGAAAAUGAAACCCGUUAAAGUCUAGACUUUAUCCUCAAGAGAAAGAAAAUAGGAGAAGAAGAAAACUCUUGGCAUAGAAGGCAUUUAUCAUACUAUGAACACAAGAAACGUGCUCUGUUGGUAUUUUAAAAUAAAAAAGACAGGAAGACAUUUAAUUGCAGGGAUAGUAGAGAUAAAAAUAUCAAAAUAAAUAUUUUUUUGAAAUAAUUUUGUAGUAUAUAUCCCUUUCAUCUUAAUUUUCUUUAUCUCUUUUAUAUAAAAAUAAUAAUAACUAAACACAAUUUAAACAUGAUUAUUGUUUUUUUAUAAGCCAAUAAUCAUAUUAUGAUACAGCUGCUGGAAACAAGAGCAUAAAGGCAGAUAAGAAAACCCCUGCGUCCUGUACAAUGAAGAUCCCAGGUUGUGCAGAAAUGGAGAAAUGUACAAUCAUUUUAGCUUCAGGAAAAGUAAAUUGGGUGUUUUAUAAUAUAUAGGUGUAUCGUGAUAUAAUGAAAGUUGUUUUUUGAAAUAUUUUUUUAUUUAAAAAUAUAUUAUAAUAAUAUUUUUUUUAUUUUAAAAAAUUAGUUUUGAUAGUAAUAUAUUAAAAUUUACUUAACUAUUUGAAAACGUAAUACAAAAAAUUAGCUUGUUUAGAAGUAUAAUUAUGGUUUUUUUUUUUCAAAUGUUUUUUAUUUAGAAAUAUAUUAAAAUAAAAUUUUUUAUUUUUUAAAAAUAAUUUUUGACAGUAGGGAUUAAAAUGAUCCAAAACAUUAAAAAUUUAUUAAUUUAAAAUAAAAAAUAAAAAAAAUUAAUUUUUUAAAUAUUUUUAAAAUAAAAAAUAAACAUGGCUUUUCGUCUUCCCAUAACACGAACGUACAUUUCGAACUUUUAUUUAUUUCUUUAUUCACAAAACGUCAUGCGCUCCAUUUCUCCGCCACAGGCGUUAGUUCUGUCUUUCACCAACUCUUCCGUACAGAUCUGUUGUUUACUUGCUCAAAGGCACGUGAGAUGAAGUCGUGGAGAUUGAUAACUUUCUUCGCAAAUAACCAUCACACAUGUAUCCGCCCCCCUCUAAUUCACGCAUCUUUUAAACGUAAACAAAAUAUAUUUUCUGCAUUUAUUCUUUUAAAAUAUUUUAGUCAGUUUAUUUUGCAUAAAAAAAAUUAUAUUUGUUUAUAAAAAGUAUUUUUUUAUAUUGAUUUCUCUUAAAAUAUUUUACAGAAAAAAUAAUCAAUAAAAAAUAUUUUAUAAUCUAUUUUCAAACAUGAUUUAUUUUCGUAAAAAUAAUUUUAGUUUAUAAAAUAUUUUACAAAUAAUAUUUUACUUAUAAUAUCAUUUAAUUAUUCUUAUCAUCGUCAACACCACUAUCUCUUCCUUGUCCACAAGCUUCCCAUUCAUCGUUGUUAUCAUUUUUGUUUUCCACCAUUACUAUUAUUUCAUCACCACAAUCACUAUCUUCUUUUCCUUUACUAUCAUUAAAAAAAAUAUUUUAUAAGAUAUUAUUUUUGAAAAAUAAAUAUUGAAAAAUAUUUUAUGCUGAAGGGUGUUAUGGAUAUAUAGAAGAACAAUAAUAUUGCAUCUUCUUGUUAUAUGAGAGAUAAAAUUAAUUGAAAGGAGUCUUUAUUAUUCAUUUUGGUCUCCAGUUAAAAGUGUUAUAAUUGCGAAUUAAUCUAAUCCGAAGUUAAUAUUUUUUUUCUUCUUGAUUAGCUAGACUUUUAAACGUAAACAAAAUAUAUUUUUCUGCAUUUAUUCUUUUAAAAUAUUUUAGUCAAUUUAUUUUGCAUAAAAAUUUUUAUAUUUGUUUAUAAAAAGUAUUUUUUUAUAUUGAUUUCUCUUAAAAUAUUUUACAGAAAAAAUAAUCAAUAAAAAAUAUUUUAUAAUCUUCUUUCAAACAUGAUUUAUUUUCAUAAAAAUAAUUUUAGUUUAUAAAAUAUUUUACAAAUAAUAUUUUACUUAUAAUAUCAUUUAAUUAUUCUUAUCACCGUCAACACCACUAUCUCUUCCUUCUCCACAACCUUCCCAUUCAUCAUUGUUAUCAUUUUUGUUUUCCACCAUUACUAUUAUUUCAUCACCACAAUCACUAUCUUCUUUUCCUUUACUAUCAUUAAAAAAAAUAUUUUAUAAGAUAUUACUUUUGAAAAAUAAAUAUUGAAAAAUAUUUUAUGCUGAAGGGUGUUAUGGAUAUAUAGAAGAACAAUAAUAUUGCAUCUUCUUGUUAUAUGAGAGAUAAAAUUAAUUGAAAGGAGUCUUUAUUAUUCAUUUUGAUCUCCAGUUAAAAGUGUUAUAAUUGCGAAUUAAUCUAAUCCGAAGUUAAUACUUUUUUUCUUCUUGAUUAGCUAGACUUUUAAACGUAAACAAAAUAUAUUUUCUGCAUUUAUUCUUUUAAAAUAUUUUAGUCAAUUUAUUUUGCAUAAAAAUUUUUAUAUUUGUCUAUAAAAAGUAUUUUUUUUAUAUUGAUUUCUCUUAAAAUAUUUUACAGAAAAAAUAAUCAAUAAAAAUAUUUUAUAAUCUGUUUUCAAACGAUUUAUUUUUUGUAAAAAUAAUUUUAAUUUAUAAAAUAUUUUACAAAUAAUAUUUUACUUAUAAUAUCAUUUAAUUAUUCUUAUCACCAUCAACACCACUAUCUCUUCCUUCUCCACAACCUUCCCAUUCAUCAUUAUUAUCAUUUUUUUUUCCACCAUUACUAUUAUUUCAUCACCACAAUCACUACUUUUCCUUUACUAUCAUUAAAAAAUAUAUUUUAUAAGAUAUUAUUUUUGAAAAAUAAAUAUUGAAAAAUAUUUUAUGCUGAAGGGUGUUAUGGGUAUAUAAAAGAGCAAUAAUAUUGAAUCUUGUUGUUAUCUGAGAGAUCAAAUUAAUUGAAAGAAGUCUUUAUCAUUCACUUUGGUCUCCAGUUAAAAGUAUUAUAAUUGCGAAUUAAUCUAAUCCAAAGUUAAUAAUUUUUUUUUCUUGAUUAAUUAGCAUUGCUUAAGUAUAUAUUUCAAGUGGUAUAUUUAAGAGUCGGUGAUUAAAAUAAUUCAACUAGCUAGGGAACUGAACGUGACUAAUCAAAUCUACAACUGGUCAUAGCAAGAAUUUUAAAUUGGGUUACAGUUUGGUAGCACAUUAAUCCAAAAGGGAUUUUACCUUUGCAUAUAUAUAUAUAUAUAUAUAUAUAUAUAUAUAUAUAUAUAUAUAUAUUGAAAGCAAUGGUAUUAUAAAUGACUUUUAGGUGAAUUGAAAUUAAAAGCGUGUUUGGAAACGUGAUUAUGGUUAUUUUUUAAAGUAUUUUUUAUUUAGAAAUAUAUUAAAAUAAUAUUUUUUUUAAAAAAAAUAUUUUUGAUAUUAGCAUAUUAAAAUAAUCAAAAAAUAUCAAAAAAUAUUAAAUUGAAGUAGAUAAAAAAAUAAUUUUUUUUAAUUUUAAAAAAAAUAAAAAACAAACUUACCUGAUAAAUACCAUACACCAAGACAUGGAUUACAAAAAUAAAAUGAUUAUGUUUUUUUUUUUUUAAAGAAACCAACAACCUUGCUAUAAGAUGCAAUAAGGUAUUUUUUGCUUUUGGCAAGAUUAUACUGGUAUCACAGUCAAAUUGUAUAUUUAAUAUGUUAAUUAAGGUGGAUUUGAGUUGAGUUUUUUUGGUUAUCAUUGUUUUUCACUUUAUUUACCAUAUGUUAUAUUUUUUAUUUAUAUUAUUAAAUUAAUUGAGUAGAUUAAAUACGUUAAUAAUUCAAAUUCAAUUUUUUUUUUUUUGCUUUUUCUAAAACGAUUGCAUCACCUUAAUAUUUUUUUUAGGCUAAAAAAAACUGAGGCGGCAAACGAUACAGCAUGAACUAUCUAGUAAUUUCUAAGCUCAUUAAAGGCAUGCAAAAAUCAAAAUGUGGAGACAGCUUAGACUGGAGAAAGUACUUUUUUUUUUACUUCCAACUAUGAGAGAGAGGGAGGGAGGGAGGGAGAGGGAGGGAGAUAACGUAGCCGCCUGGUCCCUCAGCGAGAAGAAAAAAAAAGUCAGAGAAGUUAGGCCAUUUUUUUUUUCUUUUUUAUAGCUAGCUUCUGGCUGAGAAAUUGAUUUAGAAGUUACAUUGGCUAAAAAACAAAGGACAUAUGGAUAUAGUACAAUUAUAAGACUAUAUUCAAGAUUAGUUUGGUUCUAGAUCUGAGUCACGUAUCAGUGGUUACACUCUGUCUUUUUCUUUUUCUUUUUUAAUAGAAAAACUAAAACUACAUUGUUUUGAUAAAAAAAAACAUGUCUUUCCGUUUACUCAUGAAUUAGGUGAAGUCCCGAGCUAGCUAGUCAUCAUGAAUUAGGUGGUAAAUUAUCUGGUUGGUCCGCAGACCAAGCCAAUGUACGUAGUCUUCACAAUAAUUAAACAAAAUCUAUUCACAGUAACAUUGUUUCAAGUGAACACAUAUAGUACUUGAAUUAGUUAUUCAAUUUCCAUACCUUUCACCAAGGUUAUAAACUUCUCCAAAGUAUAUUUUACCAUGAUUGGUUUGCUGCUACGUGUUCAAGGGCAAAAACCAAAUCUAUAUAAAGAGAAGCGAGGGUUGCCUAAGAAGCAGAACAAGAUCUAUUCUGUAGUGAAGUUUGCAAAAAUGGGGUCUCCAAUGGCCUCUCUCCUUGCCACUCUUUUAGUGGCAACAAUCUCUCUCAGCUUGCCAUCAGAAAGCACAGCAGACUACAAGUACUCCUCUCCUCCACCUCCUAAGAAAUCCCCUCCACCACCACCUCCUCCUUAUCACUACAAAUCCCCACCACCUCCUCCUCCAGUGCAUUCUCCGCCACCACCAGUGCACCCUUACAAGUACAAGUCACCACCACUUCCUCCACCAGUGCACAAGCCUCCACCUACACCACCAACGCACCCUUACAAGUACAAGUCUCCACCGCCUCCUCCAGUGCAUUCUCCACCACCACCAGUGCACCCUUACAAGUACAAGUCACCACCACUUCCUCUACCAGUGCAUAAGCCACCAACGCACCCUUACAAAUACAAGUCCCCACCACCUCCUCCACCUUCACCACCAACGCACCCUUACAAGUAUAAGUCCCCACCACCUCCACCAGUGCACAAGCCUCCACCUUCACCAACGCACCCUUACAAGUACAAGUCUCCCCCACCACCUCCAGUUUACAAGUCCCCUCCACCACCUCCUCCAGUUUACAAGUCGCCACCUCCUCCUCCUCACAAGAAGCCAUACAAAUAUAAAUCUCCACCACCUCCUACUCCAGUUUACAAGUACAAGUCUCCUCCACCACCACCACCAGUACACAAGUCUCCACCACCACCUCAUUACAUUUAUGCAUCACCCCCUCCACCUCACCAUUACUAGAUCAUGGCGCUCAUAGUUUCAAGGUACAUGCACGUACGAUUAUUUUGACAAUGCCAAGUAUAUAUAUCUUAAUUAAUAAGUCUCUGAAAACAUAAUGUCAGGUCAAAAUAUUUCAGUGCAGCAUUGCAUUGAAUUAAUUGAUUACUAAGUUUUUUUUUUUCACACAAAUUAAUAUUUAUCGUUUAAAGAUGCACCGGUACUGAC